GACGAACCGAGCGAACGUUGUUCGGAAUCACUGGGCUUAAAGGGCGCGUAGGCGGGCUGCCGCGUCCGGGGUGAAAUCCUCCGGCUCAACCGGGGAAGGGCCUCGGGUACGGGCGGCCUCGAGGGGGGUAGGGGCGUGCGGAACUGUGGGUGGAGCGGUGAAAUGCGUUGAUAUUGGAAAGACCACCGAUGGCGAAGGCACUCUACUGGGCCAUUACUGACACUGAGAGACGAAAGCUAGGGGAGCAAAUGGG
rnacentral:rRNA from 1 species